rnacentral:lncRNA from 1 species
UUUGUACCUAUUGUACAUUUGGUAGAACCCCUACCUCUCACAGCUGAAAUAAGAGUAGCUCUAAACACACGACAAGAACAGUUCUUAGCCACAUGGCCAACCUCAUCACACACAUAGCAACCUCUAUGACCAAUCUCAAUAAGAGAAAGUACAACUGAGGCCGAACGGUCACCCUGAACUGCUGAACUAGAAGAUCCACUAGCUGUACUCUAUAAAGUCACCUGCACUGGCCUACCAUGAUAUCCACGAGAACCUCUAAAAUCUUU